rnacentral:rRNA from 1 species
UACGUAGGGGGCUAGCGUUGUCCGGAAUCAUUGGGCGUAAAGCGCGCGUAGGCGGCCCGGUAAGUCCGCUGUAAAAGUCAAAGGCUCAACCUUUGAAUGUCAGUGGAUACUGCCGGGCUAGAGUCCGGAAGAGGCGAGUGGAAUUCCUGGUGUAGCGGUGGAAUGCGCAGAUAUCAGGAGGAACACCAACGGCGAAGGCAGCUCGCUAGGACGGUACUGACGCUAAGGCGCGAAAGUGUGGGGAGCGAACAGG